GCCGCGGUAAUAGCACAGUGGGUAAAGCGCCAAGUGGGAGAUGUCGAUUACUUCGAAAGCUAUUAUCCGCGCGGAUUCGAAUCCCGCCUGUGGCA